AAGGCGAAGUUCACGAGCCACGAUUGGCCGCGCCUGGUCGCGCCUCAUAUGACGUCAGAGACAGAGACCAAUGGGAGUCCAAGGGCAGCCUCGCGGGAAGACGGCAAGGGAGGCCGGUGAAAGUUGGUCUAAAUAUGGCAGAAGGGCCACCUGAAAGAGAUUUCUGCCACAUCGAAGCAAGGAAGUGACAGGCCUGUAAGCCAGGCAGACACCAUGAUUGGAGGCUUCAAGCCAGGCUUGUCAGCACCUAAACAACAAGACUGAAAACCAAACGCCAGAGUGGACAAAGAGCGCCUCUGAAUUCGUGCUGGACCAGAGAUGUGAGGACCAGACAUCUCCUGCUUCUCCUCGUCCUGGCACCUUACACAUUCGCUAACCAGACACAGCCCUGGGGAAGGGCGCUGGUCUUCCAUGAUAAGAUUAUUGUCCCUGGCAGCUGAGUGGGCCUUAAAGUAAAAAUAAAGUUCAGUUACAGAAAAAAAAAUUCCCAUUGUUCCACAUUUGAGUUUGUAGACUGAAGUUUCAUUCCUGCUACAACAGUAUCACCUGUAUUAUGACCUGAAACUGAAGUCGCUCAGUCGGGUCCGACUCUUUGCAACCCCAUGGACUGUAGCUUACCACGCUCCUCUGUCCUUGGGAUUUUCCAGCCAAGAGUACUGGAGUGGGUUGCCAUUUCCUUCUCCAGAGGAUCUUCCCAACCCAGGGAUUGAAACUAGGUCUCCCGUAUAGUAGGCAGACGCUUUACCGUCUGAGCCACCAGGGAAGUCAUCUGUAUUAUAUAGUAACCGAAAAUGCUCAGGUUUUAUUAUGAGAAUUUCCCCUUCCUCAGAGAUCAUGAGGUUUUCAUUAACAUUUUUAUUUGGAGCCUGUAGUUGACAAGAACAAAGCUGAGGAAAACCAACAAACACUGUCCUGCUUGGCGUCGUCACCUCACUGGUUAUGAGCUCCUCUGGAACAGAGUCCAACACCCCACCCUGACCCCUGCCUCGGCCGUAGUAACACAGUGCUUACGCUUACUACUAAGCCCACACUCCAGAGCCUGUGGGAUGCAACUACUGAGCCCAUGUGCUGCAGUUACUGAAGCCCAUGAGCUUAGAGCUGGUGCUCCUCAAGAGAAGCCACCGCAAUGAGAAGCUCGCACACCACAACUAGAGAAGAGCCUCUGCUUGCU